rnacentral:rRNA from 1 species
AAGCGUUAAUCGGAAUUACUGGGCGUAAAGCGUGCGCAGGCGGUUUGCUAAGACCGAUGUGAAAUCCCCGGGCUCAACCUGGGAACUGCAUUGGUGACUGGCAGGCUAGAGUAUGGCAGAGGGGGGUAGAAUUCCACGUGUAGCAGUGAAAUGCGUAGAUAUGCGGAGGAACACCGAUGGCGAAGGCAGACCCCCUGGGCCAAUACUGACGCUCAUGCACGAAAAGCGUGGGGGAGCAAACAGGAUUUAGAAUACCCUGGUAGUCCACCCCCCUAAA